GAUGAACGCUGCGGCGUGCCUAAUACAUGCAAGUCGAGCGAACAGAUAAGGAGCUUGCUCCUUUGACGUUAGCGGCGGACGGGUGAGUAACACGUGGGUAACCUACCUAUAAGACUGGAAUAACUCCGGGAAACCGGGGCUAAUGCCGGAUAACAUUUAGAACCGCAUGGUUCUAAAGUGAAAGAUGGUUUUGCUAUCACUUAUAGAUGGACCCGCGCCGUAUUAGCUAGUUGGUAAGGUAACGGCUUACCAAGGCAACGAUACGUAGCCGACCUGAGAGGGUGAUCGGCCACACUGGAACUGAGACACGGUCCAGACUCCUACGGGAGGCAGCAGUAGGGAAUCUUCCGCAAUGGGCGAAAGCCUGACGGAGCAACGCCGCGUGAGUGAUGAAGGUCUUCGGAUCGUAAAACUCUGUUAUUAGGGAAGAACAAAUGUGUAAGUAACUGUGCACGUCUUGACGGUACCUAAUCAGAAAGCCACGGCUAACUACGUG
rnacentral:rRNA from 1 species